GUCACGAACAGUUGGCUCUGGCACACAUAAUGACACUUGGAAGGAAAGUCUUAUUUUAACAACGCUGUUGACUUUCCAACUUCUGCGUUACCACAGUCAUCAGAGUCCAAUUUACUCUUCAGGGGCCCUAAUCAUUCUAUACCUGAACUGGACAGAAAGAAAAUAAUUUGUUCACUUAACAGAAAGAAAGUCUAUACUCCCAAAACAAAAUGAGUCAGACAGUGAUCUUUGAAUUAACAGGCUCUGCUGACGGACUAUUUUCCCCACUUUUCAUCAGUCUGGUGACAGUGGACUCUGGACAGAGAUAAAUGAGAGGUCAAGCUACCCUUCAUUUUUCCAGAGGAUUAUUUCACCCACAGAUAAGGCACGAAGAAGGAAGUAAUAGUCAAGACCAGCCUGUGAGAAAACAACAAAAAAAGGAUAACUAACAAAAGCCCCAUUCUCCAGCUCUUGCCCCGGCCAGCGCUUCAGCACGGUGAAAAUUCUAACAAGGAGCAAACAGCAAAGAACUGAAAUGCUAUACAGACUCCAGUGAGAAAAAACUGAGGUAAUUGGUUUCGGUGUGCUGGUGCUUGAAACUCUAUCCCAGUGCUUCCUUCAACUAAGGCUGCAAAUUGAAAAUGUGAAGAACCUUGCCUGCUUGAACCAGCCUGGGCUUGUGGCAGCAUCAUUCUGUCACUUAAUUCUUCUCACAGAGGAGCCAAAAUAAUGCAGCUUCACAUCUCCUUAAUGGACAGAAGACUACACUGUUUUUGCUGCACCCAGAGAUAAAAUUAUUGGUUUUGGAGUACCUUCACUGAUGCCAGGAAGGGUCCUGUCCUGUACCCGGGAGGAAGAAAUGCUACACAGAGAAGCCAAGAUGAAUCUGAACAGACAGCCUUUGGUGAGUUUCUCCCCUCAGUUUAUUACUAUUAGAUUAUUCCCUUUUUGUCUGAUCACAUUUCUCCAUGUCUGUCUAUUCUUCCUGGAGCCUAACCAUGAACAAUAGACACUUUUCCCAAACUCUUUGGAUAUGUGUCUCUUCAUUUGGCAAUUUUGAUUCAUGUCAUUCAUAAUAAAAU
rnacentral:lncRNA from 1 species